GAUGAACGCUAGCGAUAGGCUUAACACAUGCAAGUCGAGGGGCAGCACAAGGUAGCUUGCUAUCUGGGUGGCGACCGGCGCACGGGUGCGUAACGCGUAUGCAACUUGCCCUAUACAGGAGGAUAACCCGUCGAAAGACGGACUAAUACUGCGUAUGCUCACAACUUGGCAUCAAGUGGUGAGGAAAGAAAUUCGGUAUAGGAUAGGCAUGCGUCCCAUUAGCUUGUUGGUGAGGUAACGGCUCACCAAGGCAACGAUGGGUAGGGGAACUGAGAGGUUUAUCCCCCACACUGGUACUGAGACACGGACCAGACUCCUACGGGAGGCAGCAGUGAGGAAUAUUGAUCAAUGGGCGCGAGCCUGAACCAGCCAAGUCGCGUGAAGGAUGACUGUCUUAUGGAUUGUAAACUUCUUUUAUACGGGAAUAACAAGAGUCACGGGUGACUCCCUGCAUGUACCGUAUGAAUAAGCAUCGGCUAACUCCGUG
rnacentral:rRNA from 1 species